rnacentral:rRNA from 1 species
AACGUAGGGGACAAGCGUUAUCCGGAUUUACUGGGCGUAAAGCGCCCGUAGGCGGCCUGACAAGUUGGACGUGAAAGCUCCUGGCUUAACUGGGAGAGGCCGCUCAAAACUGUCAAGCUAGAGUCUGGAAGAGGAGAGCGGAAUUCCCGGUGUAGUGGUGGAAUGCGUAGAGAUCCGGAGGAACACCAGAGGCGAAAGCGGCGUCCUGGGGUGAGGUUGACGCUCAGACACGAAAGCAUGGGGAGCGAACGGG